rnacentral:rRNA from 1 species
UACGGGGGGGGCAAGCGUUGUUCGGAAUUAUUGGGCGUAAAGGGCGCGUAGGCGGCAUUGCAAGUGGAAGGUGAAAUCCCUCGGCUUAACCGAGGAACUGCCCUCCAACUGCGUUGCUUGAGGCCGGGAGAGGUGAGUGGAAUUCCCAGUGUAGCGGCGAAAUGCGUAGAUAUUGGGAGGAACACCAGUGGCGAAGGCGGCUCACUGGACCGGUUCUGACGCUGAGGCGCGAAAAGCGUGGGGAGCGAACAGG